UCCGCCAUAGCUCAGAUGGUAGUAGCGCAUGACUGUUAAUCAUGAUGUCGUAGGUUCGAGUCCUACUGGCGGAG
rnacentral:tRNA from 1 species